GAAUCCAUUCGUCCCAGUCCGUUUGAUCGACAUUUAUAUAAUGUCGAAGGUAUUCGGCUAGAGUUCGGUGAGAGCGUUGUAGCGCUCCGUUGCUUUCUGAGUGAUAGGCUGUUGUUUGUAUUUUUUCGAUUUUUAAUAAUCUACACGUAUUCUUGAAUAUCUCACUCAAGAAAUUUGUUCCUUGGUCCGUUAAAAUUUUUUCUGGGAUACCAUGUUCAAAAAUUAUUUUAGUCGCAAAUUUUUUUGCAAUUGUCGUAACUUUUUGGUUUAAUAUCAGAAUCGCUUUACUAAAUUUUGUCAGAUUAUCUUGGAAUGUUAAAAUAUAUUUGUUUCCUUUAUUUGUUAUUGUAAUCGGACCUACGCUAUCUAAAGUACAUUUUUUGAAAGACUUAUCGGCAGUGUCAGUUAUUAUUAGUGGUGCUUUAAUUUUCCGCGAUAAUUUUUUUUGACAAAAUCGCAUUUUGCUAUAUGUUCUUCGACAUCUUUUGUCAGUCCUCAUCAAUUAUGUGUUAAGCAAAUUCAAUUUAUUGUACGUUCCACUCCUUGGUAUCCUCCCGUAGGUGCAUCGUGAUAUUUGUAUAGUAUACGGCGCUUUUCAUCUUCCGUGUAUUCUUGCGUUAUCUUCGUGUUGUUUUUUCUUCUUCGACUUUGUUGAUAUCCGCCACGUGGCGACUUAGCGCGUCCUUUAAAUGCUUGAUUUUAAUUAAUGAUAUAGCCGCUCCCGUGUCAAAUAGUAAAUUUAUUUUUCCCUUUUUCGAUUCGCAUUGGUAAGGCGAUUAAGUCUAAUCCUGUAUGCGUCUGUGGUGCGUGUUUUCAUGUGUGUAACGCGAUAUUCGAUUACAGGUCGUCGCUGUUUCGUUUCCUCUCUAUCAUUCUCGUCGCCAUUCUGUAUGGUGUCCGACUUCUUUUUUUUGCUCAUUAUUUUUAUACGUUUUAUUUUCAAGUCGCGAGUUAUAUUGCUUAGGACAGCGCGAUUGAUCCUUAUUCGGACGUCCAUGUAAUGACAUUCUUCGCGAUCGUGUCCGGCUUUUUUGCAAUAGUUGCAAUAUUUAUUCACCGUGUUUACGCGGGAUGAUCUGUCGGAUUUCGGUAAUGGAAAACAGUUCAUGUAUCGGCUCGUUCGGCAAACUCGGCUGUAAUGUUCAGUUUUUCCGCAUCUUUGACAUUGCACAAUAGUUUUAUUUUCCGAUUUGUAGGUCGAUGCAAAAUUUGUUUUAUAUCGCGUGCCGGUCGCGGAUGGUCCUUUGACCUUUUCUUCCGCGCUAAUCGUUUCUUGUAACGUAGCAUAUCUUCGCGCUCGAACUAUCAUUUUAAUAUCGUCCUGUAAUUCGAUUUGAAAAUUUUAUAGAGCUUAUUACUGGAUUAUUUUCAUUAUCACUCGUUUAUUAUCAACUGUGUGAUGGCGUCCUUUUGUCAUCGAUUCGUAUAGUUCCAUAGCUAGUUUAUCGGCUCUAAGUCCGUAUGUUUGUGCGCUUUCUCCCGAUUUUUGUUUUAACGUGUUGAAUUCAAUUUGCAAAUAGGUGCUCUUUUUCUCGCUACUCGCGUAGCAGACCUCUAAUUCAUUCUUUAAUUAUGCGAAGUCUCGAAUUUUUUGUGUUUGAAAAUCUAGCAUCGCUCUGCCUUUUAACUUUGUUCAUAGAACGGCUUCUAAUAAGGUUACUUCAUCUAACGGGUCAAUAUUUUCUACGGCAUAUGUAGUCGCGCUUAGGAAUCUCUUGAAGUUUACUUGGUAAUCCGUCGAAUUCCGGAAUCAUUCUGCGAGCUUCCUUUAAGAGUAAAAAUCCGCGUCCUCGUCGACGUCGUAUAUCAUCGGGCGUAAAAUCGUAUGUGGUGUCGGUCCGUUCUUCCGGGGGAGUUCUAUCCCUUAUCUCUAUGUUGCGGACCUCUGUUUCUUAUAUUGUAUAUUUUAGUGUAUAUUUCUAAUUUCGUGCCUUAUCUCAUCUCACGUAUCAUUUUUCUAAUGUCAUCGCUCGUUCCUUUUGGUUCUCUUUGUGGGUCGCGUUAUAAUUGUGCGUUCGGGAGCGGCUCAUAGUACAAUUGAACACGUUGCAAUUGCGCAUUGUGAUAUUAGACAUAAAGUUGCGCACCGUUCGAUUGGACACAUUUCAAUUGCGCACAAUUCGUUUGGACACAUUUCAUUUGCGCACCGUUCAAUUGGACACGUUGUUUCUGGACACAAUACAUGUUUUUGUAUAAAUUAAAAUUCAUACACACGCAUAUAUGCAUGUAUAAUUUUGAACUUUUUUAACAUUUAUUAUUAACUCCAUUUGGUAAAUAAAUAUUUGUUACAGUUUAUUUACACACAGUUCUUUUGCGCACAUUUCUUUUGCACACAUUUCUAUUGAACACAUAUCUUUUGCUCACAUUUCUUUUGCACACAUUUCUAUUGCACACAGUUCUUUUGCGCACAUUUCUUUUGCACACAUUUCGAGUCCGAUCGGACACUGUAGUACUUUGUAAGUUGUAAAGCGAGGUCCAUCCAGCCUAUCGGCGGGAAGGUUGCGGGAGGGGGACCGAAGACCCCCCUUGCAUCCCCGCCCUGUGUGUGUAUGUGUGUGUGUGCGUGCGUGCUUAAGAAAUAUGCGUAAAAGAAAUAUGCGCAAAAGAUAUGUGCGCAAAAAAACUGUGUGUAAACAAACUGUAAGAAACGUUUAUUAACCAAAUGAAAUUAAUAAUAAAUGUCAAUAAAUUUCAAAAUUAUACAUAUAUACAUGCGUGUGCAUGUAUUUUAAAUUAUAAAAAAAUAUGUGUUGUGUCCAAAGCAACGGUGUUCAAUUGAACAGUGCGCAAAUGAAAUGUGUCCAAAUGAACUGUGCGCAAAUGAAAUGUGUCCAAUCGAACGGUGCACAACUUUAUGUAUCUAAUAACACAGUGUGCAAUUGCAACGUCCAAUUGUACUGUGCAAAUGAAGACUUCUCGUGCGUUCGAUUCCGUCGCAUUUCUAUUUGCUUCUUCUCGUAAUCGACUAAUUUCCUGAUCGACAUCUUCCGAUGUGAUAGGUUGCGAUGUGGAUGUGCUUGGGUUAUACAUUUUUUGUGCGCGGUAAAUUUCUUCAGGAUCAAAUAUACUUGAAUCGUAUGACAUUAAUGAGAAUCGCGGCGGUAAUUUAAUUCGCUAGACGCGCUUAUAACUGAUUUAACCUCAAAAUCACGUUCUACAUUGAAUUAUUAAGCUAUUAAGCUAUUAUCUAAUUCACCCAAGGAAAAUUCGCGUUCAGUGACGACGUUUGUUCCGAGUUCUGGUUCGGAUGAGUUUUCGCUUAGAUUUAAUGCGUCUAAAUUUUUUCGUACGUUAUCGCAUAUAUCCCGGAGUGUUUCUAUUGCUGCUCUUGUAGAGCUUACCACGUUAUUUUUAAUGGCUUCAUUCGCUGAUUCGCUAAAUAGCCAUGAUCUAUUCGCUAUGCUUUUUGGCUGCGCGUUUCGGUUUUCCGGCAUUCACACGUUUUACAAUUUAUUAUAUUGUUCGACUUACAAUAUUAUGAUGAGCAGCAUUAUUUGUCGUCGGCCGUCGAGCAUCGAUCGAUGCGUGUUGUUGAGGCAGGUCAGUGAGCUUUCUCAGGUUGCGCUUAUCAUUGUUGCCUCGAUGUACCGGGUGGUUUGAAGUUUUCGAUGGACUUCUUCCCUUUUUCCUCAGUAGUGAUUGUCGACCUUUGAUAGAGUUUUUCUUGCUGUCUAGCGUUCUGGUUGGGGUUCCACGGAAUUUUCUUCUUUUUCGUGGUUUCUUUGCCGUAUCAGUCUUAUCAGAGUUAGCGUUAUCCCACAGCUACCACCAAUUAAUGUUGUGCCUAGCCACUGAGGAAGGGGUUGUUCGGGAUUUGCACGCUCAAAGGAUUAAGAUUCACUCUGAAUAAGAUACUCACGGUCUUCUGGUAUAACUUGAUAUAUUUUACAAGACUUUAUACACUUUGCACUUGUUCGCGCACUUAUAAAAGUCGGGCGCAAUACCUUAUAUUUUCGGCGAGCGUGAGAGCUGUCGUUCUUCUGAUUUUUGCUCUCCUCUGUGCUCAUCUCGUCUUGAUAUAUAUAUUAAUUGGUCGGAAGAGUAUGAUGACCCUGGCCGGAAGAGUAUGAUGACCACGUCUUCGCUUGUCAGUCUGUCUCGUCAGCUGCUUACUCAGCUUCCGAGAACUUGACCGUGGCUUCCUUUCGCGUCUUUUACAUAAUUUUAUUGUUAAUUUUUUAUUUCAUUAUUCUUUCUUGAUUACUUUUCCUUGGGCUAUAUUAAUUAUUAUGCUUUACUUUGCUCUUUCUUAAUCUUUCUUAAUCUUUACUUAAUCUUUUAUAUUUAAUCUAUUGGGAAAUUGAUUGGGGCUACGACAAAGAAUAGGGAUCAAUUUGUAUUCUUAUGUUUUAUCUUCUAAGCUCUUCACGCUUUGAUACAUUACUUUCAUGCACCCAAAAAGAACAAUUUUUAUUUGCAAUUCUAAAACGCCUAAAGCAACAAAUGGAACGGUUGAAAAUAGCGCUUAUCAGCAUGAGCGCUUACAGCGCGUGAACGCGAAUGAAUCUUAUAUUCAAACAUGCGGAUUAUGUAAGACUAUGUGUAACAAGGACGAAGUAUCCAUGUAUAAAUCUUGAAGGCUAUUCUAACUUUAUGACGAAUGAGAAUUUGUAUUUUUAUCCUUAGAUGAUGGAAUAAUUGUAAGAAGAAGUUUGAUACAAUGCACUGAAAUAAUAGCUGUACUUUUCCAUAGUGAUAAUCUAGAAAAUAUUCAGCCCAUUGUUGUGCCUCGCGGGGAGACACUGGAAUUUUGGGAUUUCGCCAUCAAGAGCUUAGGAGCCGAGGACCGGGUCGGGAGCCGGUUUAUAGAAAGUUAUAAUUUUUCAUAUAAAUAAAUCAGUUUUAUUCUUA